CAGACUCGGAAGUUGGCUUCUCUUAAGUGCUUUCAGUUCAUUACAUAGUGCUCUCGUGAAUUUGCGUGGAAUUUUACGAGUUUAAUCUUCUUGUACAUAUAAAUAUUUGAAUUCAUACUGAUUUUCUCCUCUUUUAUUUUGUGCAUCAAGCAGGUGACACCUUAAAGAUUUAAUUCAUCUGUCCUUGACAGGUAAAAGAAGAUCUCAUCUGAAGAUACUACUUUAGUAAAGAUAACCUCCCAGUCGAAGAAUAUUUUUUUCUGCAACAUAAAUCAAGUCAUGCAAGGCAACAUUUUAAAUACUUUCAGUUGAAGAUUUGAAGAUAUAUUAAAACCUUCCUUCAAAUAAUUCAAGAUAUAAAUAUUUAAAGAUGGUGCAGACUAUAUCAAAGGCUUUUACCAUACACUUGAAGAUAUACUGAAACUUCCAACUAAAGAAUUGAAGGCUAUAUCAAUUUGAAAACUUCAAGAUUUUAACUUGAAGGCAUGGCAGACUUGAAGGCUUCUACUUGACGACUUGACAAAUUUGAAGACUUCGACUUGAAGACUUAGUGGAUUUGAAGAUUUUAACUUAAUGAUUCAACUUGAAAAUUUUACAGAAUUGAAGGCUUCAACUUUUGGCGAAUUCGAAGGCCUCAACUUGACUUGGUGAAUUUGAAGACUUUAACUUGAUGACUCAAUUUGAGGACUUCCCAAAAUUGAAGACUUUAACUUGAAAAUUUGCCGAAUUCGAAGGUCUCAUCAUCACUUAGCAGAUUUGAAAAAUCGAGAAGACUUGGUGGAUUUGAAGACUUAAACUCAAAGAUUUAGGUAGAUUUUAAGAAUUAAACUUGAAGGUUAAAGUAUACGAGUUAAACUUGAAGAUGUAGUCACUUUGAAGAAUUCAACUUGAAGACGUGGCAAACUAGGAUAGUUGAAGACUUAGCGGAGUAGAAGAAUUUAACUCAACUUCAACUUGAAGAUUUAGCAUGCCAGAGACUUCAAAUCAAUGAUAUAGAAAAUAUGAAGAAUUCAACUUGACGACUUAGCAAACUUGAAGAAUUCAGGUCAAAGACAUUACGGUCUUGAAAAUUUUGCAGCCUGCUAAAGACUAUAAUUGUCUCGAAGAUACCAAUCCUGGUGAAGAGGAUCAAGUCAUUAAGCAGUUUAUAACAAGUGAGUUUUUUUAUA